rnacentral:tRNA from 1 species
AGUGUCAAGGAUGGGAAUCGAACCCACGACCUUCCGCUUACCGGGCAGAUGCCAUGACCACUAGGCCACAUGACC